rnacentral:rRNA from 1 species
CGGACGGGUGAGAAUGUCUGGGAACUGCCCGAUGAGGGGGAGUAACUACUGGAAACGGUAGCUAAUACCGCAUAACGUCGCAAGACCAAAGAGGGGGACCUUCGGGCCUCUUGCCAUCGGAUGUGCCCAGAUGGGAUUAGCUAGUAGGUGGGGUAACGGCUCACCUAGGCGACGAUCCCUAGCUGGUCUGAGAGGAUGACCAGCCACACUGGAACUGAGACACGGUCCAG